rnacentral:rRNA from 1 species
UACGUAGGGGGCAAGCGUUGUCCGGAUUUAUUGGGCGUAAAGAGCGUGUAGGCGGCCAAGCAGGUCCGCUGUGAAAACUCGAGGCUCAACCUCGAGACGUCGGUGGAAACCGUUUGGCUAGAGUCCGGAAGAGGAGAGUGGAAUUCCCGGUGUAGCGGUGAAAUGCGCAGAUAUCGGGAAGAACACCCGUGGCGAAGGCGGCUCUCUGGGACGGUACUGACGCUCAUGCACGAAAGCGUGGGGAGCAAACAGG